rnacentral:rRNA from 1 species
AUUGAACGCUGGCGGCAUGCCUUACACAUGCAAGUCGAACGGUAACGCGGGGCAACCUGGCGACGAGUGGCGAACGGGUGAGUAACGCAUCGGAACGUGCCCAGGAGUGGGGGAUAGCCCGGCGAAAGCCGGAUUAAUACCGCAUACGACCUACGGGUGAAAGCGGGGGAUCGCAAGACCUCGCGCUAUUGGAGCGGCCGGUGUCAGAUUAGGUAGUUGGUGGGGUAAAGGCCUACCAAGCCCGCGAUCUGUAGCUGGUCUGAGAGGACGACCCGACAGACUGGGACUGAGAGACGGCCCAGACUCCUACGGGAGGCAGCAGUGGGGAAUUUUGGACAAUGGGCGCGAGCCGGAUCCAGCCAUGCCGCGUGCGGGAAGAAGGCCUUCGGGUUGUAAACCGCUUUUGUCAGGGAAGAAACGCUCCGGGCUAACACCCUGGGGUAAUGACGGUACCUGAAGAAUAAGCACCGGCUAACUACGUGCCAGCAGCCGCCGUAACAC